GAUGAAGAACGUAGCGAAAUGCGAUAAGUAAUGCGAAUUGCAGAAUUCCAGUGAAUCAUCGAAUCUUUGAACGCACAUUGCGCCCCUUGGUAUCCCGAGGGGCAUGCCUGUUCGAGCGUCAUUUCACCACUCAAGCCUGGCUUGGUGUUGGGCGACGUCCUCUUUGGGGACGCGCCUCGAAACGCUCGGCGGCGUGGCACCGGCUUUAAGCGUAGCAGAAUCUUUCGCUUUGGAAGUCGGGGCCCCGUCUGCCGGAAGACCUGCUCGCAAGGUUGACCUCGGAUCAGGCAGGGAUACCCGCUGAACUUAAGCAUAUCAAUAAGCGGAGGA
rnacentral:misc_RNA from 1 species